rnacentral:rRNA from 1 species
CCUACGGGAGGCAGCAGUAGGGAAUCUUCGGCAAUGGACGGAAGUCUGACCGAGCAACGCCGCGUGAGUGAAGAAGGUUUUCGGAUCGUAAAGCUCUGUUGUAAGAGAAGAACGAGUGUGAGAGUGGAAAGUUCACACUGUGACGGUAUCUUACCAGAAAGGGACGGCUAACUACGUGCCAGCAGCCGCGGUAAUACGUAGGUCCCGAGCGUUGUCCGGAUUUAUUGGGCGUAAAGCGAGCGCAGGCGGUUAGAUAAGUCUGAAGUUAAAGGCUGUGGCUUAACCAUAGUACGCUUUGGAAACUGUUUAACUUGAGUGCAAGAGGGGAGAGUGGAAUUCCAUGUGUAGCGGUGAAAUGCGUAGAUAUAUGGAGGAACACCGGUGGCGAAAGCGGCUCUCUGGCUUGUAACUGACGCUGAGGCUCGAAAGCGUGGGGAGCAAACGGGAUUAGAUACCCGGGUAGUC